UGCAGAAUCCCGUGAACCAUCGAGUCUUUGAACGCAAGUUGCGCCCGAAGCCAUCAGGUUGAGGGCACGUCUGCCUGGGCGUCACAU
rnacentral:rRNA from 2 species